rnacentral:lncRNA from 1 species
AUGGCCAUGAGCAGGAGGUGCAGGGCACACCUUGGUUGGCCCUCCAGACAGGUAGCCUCCCCGGGAAGCAAGGGGUGGGUUAUACCAAGGUGUUGUGGGCAGGGGUUCUGCGCCUGGUUCCCCUUCAGAAAUGAUCCUGAACCCCAAACUCACCUCUGCCACUCUCUCCACAGGCCCCACGCUGGGCGAGAAGUCCGAGGCCAAGACCGGGGCAGCGCCCAAGGUCUCGGGUCUCGAGCGCAGCCGCGAGCUGAGCACCGAGCCGCCCUUCUUGGCCCCCGUGCGCAGCCCCGCGCCGGUCUUGCCCUCCGCCAGCACCGCGGCCAGCCCGCUGGUCAAGAAGGAAGCCCCGGCGCUGCCCCGCCUUGCCCCGCAGCUGCCACCCGCGCCCUCGCAGCCCCGGGCCCCGCUCCUGACGCACGUGCCUCUCCCUCCGGGCGCCUUCCCGGGCCCCGGCCCGGCCGCGCACAACGGCCUGCACAGCCUCAGCAGGAGCAGCAGCGCCAGCAGCGGUGCCAGCCUGGGGCUCGCGAAGCACGCGUCCCUGUCGCCUCACGGGCCGGGCCCCCACCUCUCUACCUCACACUUGGCGCUCCGCUCGCAGGCCCAGCACCAGCACCACGCGGCGGCCAUGUUCGCCGCGCCCCCGACACUGCCCCCGCCCCCGGCGCUGCCGGCCAACAGCCUGGUCAUCCCAGGACACCCCGCCGAUGCCAGCCUGUUGAUCUCAUUCAGCCAGCCAAUCAUGUAUUGCCAGCCUCAUUCGGGGAUUCUGAUUGGUACUUGGUCACAGGCACCUCUCUUACCUCCACCCUGGGGCCCGCACGUAGCGAGCGGCCACCACGGCUUGGCCUGCCGAAACCGGGAGUGCCAGAUCACGAGCUGCUCAGGCAAGAGCUGAACGCGCGUUUUCUGGUCCAGAGCGCCCCCCUGGGCCCGGGAGCUCUGCUGCGGGCGGAGUUCCACCAGCACCAACACACACACCAGCACACACACCAGCACCAACACACAUUCGCCCCCUUCCCUGCCGGGCCGCCCCCGCCGCCGCUCCUGCCGCACGCCGCACCCCCGCCGUUUGACAAGUACACGCCCAAGCUGGACAGCCCCUACUUCCGACAUUCCAACUUUUUCCCGCCCUUCCCUCCGGCCGUCCCAGGACUGCCCGCCCUGCUCCCACACCCAGGCCCCUUUGGAUCCCUGCAGGGUGCUUUUCAGCCCAAGACUUCAAACCCACUCGAGUUAACAGGCCGGGCCAGUGCGGUUCACACCCUCCUGCAGAAAGCCCCCGGGCAGGUGUCUGACCCGUACCGGACAGCAAUCAGGAUGCAGCUGGAGCCCCACAAGCUGGACGUGGGCACCAAGCUGGACUUAUUCAGCAGACCCCCCGCCCCGGGCGUGUUCGCCGGAUUCCACUACCCACAGGACCUGGCCCGGCCCCUCUUCUCCAGCUCGGGUGCCACCCAUCCUGCCGCCAACCCGUUCGGACCCUCAGCGCAUCCUGGCAGCUUCCUGCCCACUGGUCACUUGACAGACCCUUUCAGCAGAUCAAGCACCUUCGGGGGCCUGGGGAGCCUAGGCAGCAACGCUUUUGGAGGCCUCGGCAGCCACGCGCUGACUCCCAGCAGCGGCGGCAUCUUUGCCCCCAAGGAGGGCCCCACACUGCACGGUCUGCCCAGCCCCCACGAGGCCUGGAACCGGCUGCACCGAGCACCACCCUCCUUCCCCACGCCACCCCCAUGGCCCAAGCCCUUAGACGCCGAGCGGGUCUCAGCCCUGACCAACCACGACCGAGAGCUGGACAAGGGCAAGGAGGAGCGGGACCGGGACCUCCUGGAAAAGACACGCCUGCUGAGCCGGGCCUCUCCAGCGGCGCCCGUGGGCCACCCAGGCAGUGGCCUCGUGCUCCGGGGCCAGGGCGAUCCGGGCCGGCCCGGGAUCCCUGCCGAACGCGAGGCUGAGCUCCGCAUCAAGGAGAGCCGCUCCCCGGCCAGGGAGGACGGCCCCAAGCCCAGCAAGAUGGCCCUGGGGGAAGGCCUGCGCCUGGCCGGUCUCCUGGGCCGCGAGCCCGGGAAGCCGCACGAGGCGCCGGCCGAGCGGUCCCAGGGCGACGUGAAGGUCAAGGAGGAGCGCGGGGAGGACGGAGACGCGCCCCCACAGCCCGGCCCGGGCCCCGCGGGCCGCGAGCGCCCGGCCUUCGCGUGGGAGCCACCGCGCGACGCCUACCGCGGCCCGGAGCUGCCCCGCCGCGCCCCGCCGGGCCCGGGCCCCGCCGCCCUCCUCGAGCCGCCCGAGCGCCCCUACCGGGACCGCGAGCCGCACGACUACAGCCCCGAGCGCCUGCGGGAGGCGCGCCGCGACGAGCUAGAGCGCGCCCGGGCCGCGCACCUGGACGGCGCGGCGCUGCUGCCGGCGCUGGGCGCCCUGCACUACCCGCGCCUCGCGCCCGCCGCCGCCGCCCUGCACAACAGUCUCCUGGCGCGGACCCCGCCCGCCGCCGCCGCGCUCGGCGCGCCGCCGCCGCUGGUGGCCGCAGGCGGGCCCCCCACGCCCCCCGGGCAGCCGCGGAGCAGGACUACGCCGCUGGGGGCCCGCGCGCCGGGUGAGGCCCGCGACUACUCCCCGUCCCGCAACCCCCAGGAGGUAGAGGCGCGGUAG